ACACCCGGGCUUGCCUUUAGUACGGCGAGUGAGCGGCAAAAGCUCAAAUUUGAAAUCUGGUACCUUCGGUGCCCGAGUUGUAAUUUGGAGAGGGCAACUUUGGGGCCGUUCCUUGUCUAUGUUCCUUGGAACAGGACGUCAUAGAGGGUGAGAAUCCCGUGUGGCGAGGAGUGCGGUUCUUUGUAAAGUGCCUUCGAAGAGUCGAGUUGUUUGGGAAUGCAGCUCUAAGUGGGUGGUAAAUUCCAUCUAAAGCUAAAUAUUGGCGAGAGACCGAUAGCGAACAAGUACAGUGAUGGAAAGAUGAAAAGAACUUUGAAAAGAGAGUGAAAAAGUACGUGAAAUUGUUGAAAGGGAAGGGCAUUUGAUCAGACAUGGUGUUUUGUGCCCUCUGCUCCUUGUGGGUAGGGGAAUCUCGCAUUUCACUGGGCCAGCAUCAGUUUUGGUGGCAGGAUAAAUCCAUAGGAAUGUAGCUUGCCUCGGUAAGUAUUAUAGCCUGUGGGAAUACUGCCAGCUGGGACUGAGGACUGCGACGUAAGUCAAGGAUGCUGGCAUAAUGGUUAUAUGCCGCCCGUCUGAAAAAAGGAAAACAAAAAAA
rnacentral:rRNA from 1 species